GACGAACGCUGGCGGCGUGCCUAAUACAUGCAAGUCGAACGCAGUUGGGACGGGUUAGUAACACGUGGGUAACCUCCCAUCAGAGGGGAUAACACUUGGAAACAGGUGCUAAACCGCUACUGUUUGAUGGACCCGCGGUGCAUUAGCUAGUUGGUGAGGUAACGGAUCACCAGGGCCACGAUGCAUAGCCGAGCUGAGAGGGGGAGCGGCCACACUGGGACUGAGACACGGCCCAGACUCCUACGGGAGGCAGCAGUAGGGAAUCUUCGGCAAUGGACGAAAGUCUGACCGAGCAACGCCGCGUGAGUGAAGAAGGUUUUCGGAUCGUAAAACUCUGUUGUUAGAGAAGCGGGAACUAAAGAGAAAGCCACGGCUAACUACGUGCCAGCAGCCGCGGUAAUUG
rnacentral:rRNA from 1 species